GAUGAACGCUGGCGGCGUGCCUAAUACAUGCAAGUCGAGCGAACAGAUGAGGAGCUUGCUCCUCUGACGUUAGCGGCGGACGGGUGAGUAACACGUGGAUAACCUACCUAUAAGACUGGGAUAACUUCGGGAAACCGGAGCUAAUACCGGAUAAUAUAUUGAACCGCAUGGUUCAAUAGUGAAAGACGGUUUUGCUGUCACUUAUAGAUGGAUCCGCGCCGCAUUAGCUAGUUGGUAAGGUAACGGCUUACCAAGGCAACGAUGCGUAGCCGACCUGAGAGGGUGAUCGGCCACACUGGAACUGAGACACGGUCCAGACUCCUACGGGAGGCAGCAGUAGGGAAUCUUCCGCAAUGGGCGAAAGCCUGACGGAGCAACGCCGCGUGAGUGAUGAAGGUCUUCGGAUCGUAAAACUCUGUUAUUGGUGAAGAACAAAUGUGUAAGUAACUAUGCACGUCUUGACGGUACCUAAUCAGAAAGCCACGGCUAACUACGUG
rnacentral:rRNA from 1 species